AAUUCGCCCUUCGGGGUGCACCAGGCGCGAAAACUUUACAAUGCUGGCAACAGCGAUAAGGGGACCUCGAGUGCCAGGAUACAAUCUUGGCUGUCGCGAUGCCUAAAAAGCAUUGCAUAGCAAGGGCCGGGCAAGACCGGUGCCAGCCGCCGCGGUAACACCGGCGGCUCGAGUGGUAACCGCUAUUAUUGGGUCUAAAGGGUCUGUAGCCGGCCGGAUAAGUCUUUUGGGAAAUCCAGCUGCUCAACAGUUGGGCUUUCAGAAGAUACUGUUCGGCUCGAGACCGGGAGAGGUGAGAGGUACUUCAGGGGUAGGGGUGAGAUCUUGUAAUCCUUGAAGGACCACCAGUGGCGAAGGCGUCUCACCAGAACGGAUCUGACGGCAAGGGACGAAAGCUAGGGGCACGAACCGGAUUAGAUACCCGGGUAGUCCUAGCCGUAAACGAUACUCGCUAGGUGUCAGCCACGGUGCGACCGUGGUUGGUGCCGUAGGGAAGCCGUGAAGCGAGCCACCUGGGAAGUACGGCCGCAAGGCUGAAACUUAAAGGAAUUGGCGGGGGAGCAC
rnacentral:rRNA from 1 species